GGAGAGGUGACCGAGCGGCCGAAGGUACUCCCCUGCUAAGGGAGCAUACGGGCACAAACCUGUAUCCAGAGUUCAAAUCUCUGCCUCUCCGCCA
rnacentral:tRNA from 1 species